rnacentral:rRNA from 1 species
GGGUGAGUAACACGUAGGGAACCUGCCCGUGCACCGGGAAUACGCUCUGGAAACGGAGAACAAAUCCCGAUGUACAGGAAGGAGGCAUCUUCUUUCUGUGAAACAUCCUUCAGGGGAUGGGGCGCGGAUGGACCUGCGGUGCAUUAGUUGGUUGGCGGGGUAAAGGCCCACCAAGACGAUGAUGCAUAGCCGGCCUGAGAGGGCGGACGGCCACAUUGGGACUGAGACACGGCCCAGACUCCUGCGGGAGGCAGCAGUAGGGAAUUUUCGUCAAUGGGCGCAAGCCUGAACGAGCGAUGCCGCGUGAGUGAAGAAGGCCUUCGGGUCGUAGAGCUCUGUUGCGGGGGAAAAAAGGCAGCAUCAGGAAAUGGGUGCUGACUGAUGGUGCCCCGCCAGAAAGUCACGGCUAACUACGUGCCAGCAGCCGCGGUAAUACGUAGGUGGCGAGCGUUAUCCGGAAUGAUUGGGCGUAAAGGGUGCGCAGGCGGUCCUGCAAGUCUGGAGUGAAACGCAUGAGCUCAACUCAUGCAUGGCUUUGGAAACUGGAGGACUGGAGAGCAGGAGAGGGCGGUGGAACUCCAUGUGUAGCGGUAAAAUGCGUAGAUAUAUGGAAGAACACCAGUGGCGAAGGCGGCCGCCUGGCCUGUUGCUGACGCUGAGGCACGAAAGCGUGGGGAGCAAAUAGGAUUAGAUACCCUAGUAGUCCACGCCGUAAACGAUG